UAAGUCCUGUAUUUAUUCACUUUUUUCAAAAUGAUUGCACAGCGCUUAUGUAAUCGCAACUGCAAUUAUCAUUUCUCAUACAUACAUAUAUGCAUUGAUAUUGCAAUGAAUCGAUGCACAAUAAAUUAUUUAUACCAAAAUUCAGCCUUGGCUAGCAGCUUAUAACAGAAGCAAGAGCAUGAACAAACCCAUGCAUGAUUUCUCAGUUAUGUGAUCUUUUCUUCCAAUCUUAAAUAAACCAAGUACCAACAACUUGAUUGCAGGAAAGCAUCUCGCUGAGCAUUGCAAGGCAGAGUACCCAAGUCCAGUGAAAUACUGCCUGUGGAUACUUGCUGGGGUGGCCGUUAUAGCAGCCGACAUCCCAGCAGUACUAGGAACGGCAUUUGCUCUGAACAUACUCUUCAGAAUACCCAUGUGGAGCGGGGUCCUGCUGGCUGGAUUGAAUACUCUCCUUCUCCAUGGGAUGCAACGAUAUGGUAUAAGGAAGCUGGAGGGUGCGAUUGGUAUGCUAGUAAUGGUGGUGGGUGGCUGCUUCUUUGCUGUAAUGAUAAAGGCCAGCCCGAGUGCAAAGGAGAUGGUGACCGGAAUGUUCGUUCCCAAAUUGAAUGCGAAAGGAGCCA